CUCGUAGGCGGUUCGUCGCGUCCGGUGUGAAAGUCCAUCGCUUAACGGUGGAUCCGCGCCGGGUACGGGCGGGCUUGAGUGCGGUAGGGGAGACUGGAAUUCCCGGUGUAACGGUGGAAUGUGUAGAUAUCGGGAAGAACACCAAUGGCGAAGGCGGCUUACUGGACGGUAACUGACGUUGAGGCUCGAAAGCGUGGGGAGCAAACA
rnacentral:rRNA from 1 species